GGAUCGGGCGGUUCCCCCUUCGGGGGGACGAGGGUGACAGGUGGUGCAUGGUUGUCGUCAGCUCGUGUCGUGAGAUGUUGGGUUAAGUCCCGCAACGAGCGCAACCCUCGACCUUAGUUGCCAGCAUUCAGUUGGGCACUCUAAGGUGACUGCUGGCUAAAAGUCGGAGGAAGGUGGGGAUGACGUCAAAUCAUCAUGCCCCUUAUGACCUGGGCUACACACGUGCUACAAUGGGCGGUACAAAGGGUCGCGAACCCGCGAGGGGGAGCCAAUCCCAAAAAGCCGCUCUCAGUUCGGAUUGCAGGCUGCAACUCGCCUGCAUGAAGCCGGAAUCGCUAGUAAUCGCGGAUCAGCAUGCCGCGGUGAAUACGUUCCCGGGCCUU
rnacentral:rRNA from 1 species